UUUGAGCAAUGGAGGGACGCAGAAGGAUAGAAGAAGCGUGCGAUUGGUUGUGCACGUCCAAGCAGUUAGGCUGAUAAGUAGGCAAAUCCGCUUAUCGUGAAGGCUGAGCUGUGAUGGGGAAGCUCCUUAUGGAGCGAAGUCUUUGAUUCCCCGCUGCCAAGAAAAGCUUCUAGCGAGAUAAAAGGUGCCUGUACCGCAAACCGACACAGGUAGGCGAGGAGAGAAUCCUAAGGUGUGCGAGAGAACUCUGGUUAAGGAACUCGGCAAAAUGACCCCGUAACUUCGGGAGAAGGGGUGCUUUCUUAACGGAAAGCCGCAGUGAAUAGGCCCAAGCGACUGUUUAGCAAAAACACAGCUCUCUGCGAAGCCGUAAGGCGAAGUAUAGGGGGUGACACCUGCCCGGUGCUGGAAGGUUAAGGAGAGGGGUUAGCGUAAGCGAAGCUCUGAACUGAAGCCCCAGUAAACGGCGGCCGUAACUAUAACGGUCCUAAGGUAGCGAAAUUCCUUGUCGGGUAAGUUCCGACCCGCACGAAAGGUGUAACGAUUUGGGCACUGUCUCAACCAGAGACUCGGUGAAAUUAUAGUACCUGUGAAGAUGCAGGUUACCCGCGACAGGACGGAAAGACCCCGUGGAGCUUUACUGUAGCCUGAUAUUGAAUUUUGGUACAGUUUGUACAGGAUAGGCGGGAGCCUUUGAAACCGGAGCGCUAGCUUCGGUGGAGGCGCUGGUGGGAUACCGCCCUGACUGUAUUGAAAUUCUAACCUACGGGUCUUAUCGACCCGGGAGACAGUGUCAGGUGGGCAGUUUGACUGGGGCGGUCGCCUCCUAAAGUGUAACGGAGGCGCCCAAAGGUUCCCUCAGAAUGGUUGGAAAUCAUUCGUAGAGUGCAAAGGCAUAAGGGAGCUUGACUGCGAGACCUACAAGUCGAGCAGGGACGAAAGUCGGGCUUAGUGAUCCGGUGGUUCCGCAUGGAAGGGCCAUCGCUCAACGGAUAAAAGCUACCCCGGGGAUAACAGGCUUAUCUCCCCCAAGAGUCCACAUCGACGGGGAGGUUUGGCACCUCGAUGUCGGCUCAUCGCAUCCUGGGGCUGUAGUCGGUCCCAAGGGUUGGGCUGUUCGCCCAUUAAAGCGGUACGCGAGCUGGGUUCAGAACGUCGUGAGACAGUUCGGUCCCUAUCCGUCGUGGGCGUAGGAAAUUUGAGAGGAGCUGUCCUUAGUACGAGAGGACCGGGAUGGACGCACCGCUGGUGUACCAGUUGUUCUGCCAAGGGCAUAGCUGGGUAGCUAUGUGCGGAAGGGAUAAGUGCUGAAAGCAUCUAAGCAUGAAGCCCCCCUCAAGAUGAGAUUUCCCAUAGCGUAAGCUAGUAAGAUCCCUGAAAGAUGAUCAGGUUGAUAGGUUCGAGGUGGAAGCAUGGUGACAUGUGGAGCUGACGAAUACUAAUAGAUCGAGGACUUAACC
rnacentral:rRNA from 1 species